UACGGAGGGUGCAAGCGUUAUCCGGAUUCACUGGGUUUAAAGGGCGCGUAGGCGGCCGAUCAAGUCGGAGGUGAAAUCCCUCGGCUCAACUGAGGAAUUGCCUUCGAUACUGUUCGGCUUGAGUCCUGGAGAGGGUAGCGGAAUUCCCGGUGUAGCGGUGAAAUGCGUAGAGACCGGGAAGAACACCAGUGGCGAAGGCGGCUACCUGGACAGGUACUGACGCUGAAGCGCGAAAGCUAGGGGAGCAAACAGG
rnacentral:rRNA from 1 species